GAUGAACGCUAGCGGGAGGCCUAACACAUGCAAGCCGAGCGGUAUUGUUUCUUCGGAAAUGAGAGAGCGGCGUACGGGUGCGGAACACGUGUGCAACCUGCCUUUAUCUGGGGGAUAGCCUUUCGAAAGGAAGAUUAAUACUCCAUAAUAUAUUGAACGGCAUCGUUUAAUAUUGAAAGCUCCGGCGGAUAGAGAUGGGCACGCGCAAGAUUAGCUAGUUGGUGAGGUAACGGCUCACCAAGGCGAUGAUCUUUAGGGGGCCUGAGAGGGUGAUCCCCCACACUGGUACUGAGACACGGACCAGACUCCUACGGGAGGCAGCAGUGAGGAAUAUUGGUCAAUGGGUGCAAGCCUGAACCAGCCAUCCCGCGUGAAGGACGACUGCCCUAUGGGUUGUAAACUUCUUUUGUAUAGGGAUAAACCUACCCUCGUGAGGGUAGCUGAAGGUACUAUACGAAUAAGCACCGGCUAACUCCGUGCCAGCAGCCGCGGUAAUACGGAGGGUGCAAGCGUUAUCCGGAUUUAUUGGGUUUAAAGGGUCCGUAGGCGGACUUAUAAGUCAGUGGUGAAAGCCUGUCGCUUAACGAUAGAACUGCCAUUGAUACUGUAAGUCUUGAGUAUAUUUGAGGUAGCUGGAAUAAGUAGUGUAGCGGUGAAAUGCAUAGAUAUUACUUAGAACACCAAUUGCGAAGGCAGGUUACCAAGAUAUAACUGACGCUGAGGGACGAAAGCGUGGGGAGCGAACAGGAUUAGAUACCCUGGUAGUCCACGCCGUAAACGAUGCUAACUCGUUUUUGGGCUUUAGGGUUCAGAGACCAAGCGAAAGUGAUAAGUUAGCCACCUGGGGAGUACGCUCGCAAGAGUGAAACUCAAAGGUAUUGACGGGGGCCCGCACAAGCGGUGGAUUAUGUGGUUUAAUUCGAUGAUACGCGAGGAACCUUACCAAGACUUAAAUGGGAAUUGACAGCUUUAGAAAUAGAGCUUUCUUCGGACAAUUUUCAAGGUGCUGCAUGGUUGUCGUCAGCUCGUGCCGUGAGGUGUUAGGUUAAGUCCUGCAACGAGCGCAACCCCUGUCACUAGUUGCCAUCAUUCAGUUGGGGACUCUAGUGAGACUGCCUACGCAAGUAGAGAGGAAGGUGGGGAUGACGUCAAAUCAUCACGGCCCUUACGUCUUGGGCCACACACGUAAUACAAUGGCCGGUACAGAGGGCAGCUACACAGCGAUGUGAUGCAAAUCUCGAAAGCCGGUCUCAGUUCGGAUUGGAGUCUGCAACUCGACUCUAUGAAGCUGGAAUCGCUAGUAAUCGCGCAUCAGCCAUGGCGCGGUGAAUACGUUCCCGGGCC
rnacentral:rRNA from 1 species